GCAAGUCGAGCGAGAAAGCACUUCGGUGUGAGUAUAGCGGCGGACGGGUGAGUAACGCGUAGGAAUCUACCCAGUAGCGGGGGACAACAUGUGGAAACGCAUGCUAAUACCGCAUACGCCCUAAGGGGGAAAGGGGGCUCUUUGAGCUCUCACUAUUGGAUGAGCCUGCGUAAGAUUAGCUAGUUGGUGAGGUAAUGGCUCACCAAGGCGACGAUCAGUAGCUGGUCUGAGAGGAUGGAC
rnacentral:rRNA from 1 species